GUCAAGCAGAAAGGCACACGAUAAUUCAGUUAGGUGAAGGGUUUAACAAUGUUACUGCUUUUUGGCCUGAGGAAGACUAUAGUGUGGUUAUCUAACUCACAUCGCCAUGUUACUGCCUCAUCUUCCUGUCGGUUUGUGUUGUGAUCCCUGCGUCACCAAGAUGCUACUGGUCAUCUCAGCCAAUAUUAAUACGCACCGUGCAACAUGGUCAGCGAGAGGCGGUCCAAGGUCAAACUUAUGCUGAUGAUUUACAGUAAUACCCAACAACAGGUGAACUGAAUGCAUGUGUUGGCUCUUUUUUUUUUUUUUUUUUUUUUAUCAAGCAGCUCUUCAGACAAUACCCUUUGGCACAAAUAGCAAUUAUUUGAUCAUAAAUGUAUAACUUAUUGAUUUAUUUGUAAUUGGAAUUAGAUCUUAUGAAAAUAAUUCAUUUAAUUUCAUUUCAAUUUUAUGUGCAAUUUAUUAUUUUGUGUUAUUCAUCUUGAAAAAAAAAAAUAUAUAUAUACAAAUAUAUAUAUAUCUUAAAAAAGAAGAAAAUAAGUGUUAAUUACCGUUAAUUGUGGAAUUCUGCUUUUCAAUAUUAAAUAUGCCUCUGGUAAAGAGUUUCAGGGAGAAAGAUUUUUUUUUAUACAGUUUCAUUUUAUGAAAUGAAAUUUUCUUUUGUGCGCCAUUGUCACUCAAUUUCAAUUAAAAAAAUAAUAAUAACCACAAUAUUAUAUUUAUAUAUGCAGUAUUAUAUAUUAUAUAUAUUAUAUUUAUAUAUACUAUAUUCAAAACACAUAUUUCACCUCAAUCUACUAAGUUUACUUUAACAACUCUUAAUAGUUAACCAGUCAAUAAUUAAUGUGAGACACAUCAAACAAUUCCCAAUAAUAUUGUAAACAUUAUUUUAAACACUGUACUUUCCAGUAAAUUGACACUUAAUAACCAUCAAGCAAUAACAAUGAUUAUAACAAAUGAAACUAUUUCCAGACAAGUAGAACAAGAUCUUUGUCGCUGAGUUUCCUUGGAUCUUGUUGAAAGAUGAAAAGGAGAUUUUAAUGCGGAAUAUUUCACAUUUCUCCCUGUGGCAAUUCAGCAUCACAUUGGAACAAGAGGUCUCUUUAAUAGCUCUCCUUACAAUGCAGACGUUUAUGUAAGAUUCACUGUCUCUUCGCCUUUCCUGUAAAUUCUUGUCUUUACUGGCAUCUUCCCGUAAAUACUUUCCUCAACCUCAGAGCAUUGCUAACUCCAGCUCUUUAAAGAGCACAUUUAAACUACACAUCCCCACAUUUAUUUAUUUCCUCUCUCACACAGACUAUGCUCAAUGUAGUCCCUUAUUUGCUUCUUAACUUUGGACAACUGUUAUUAUGCAACUUCAUUAUUCAUAACUUGUUGAGUUCUGUCUGUAAUCUGUUUAACUUUCAACCCUUUUUUGGCAAAACACUUGAGCUUUAAUUCUGUAGAUGCUGGUGGAGUCAGGACUGCAGACCUAUCCUGUCUUCAGUUUUCAGAACUUGUGUUUUGAUGUAUUUUGUUAUUUUGUUUUUGUUUAAAUUUCAUAUAUCUCUUCUGAAAUAAUCGUAAUACAGAAGUGCCAACAGUGAAGCGUCUCUAUGUUUUUAAACUAACUAAUCGGGUCAGAAUAAAAACACAAGACAUGAAGUGCACGGAGAAAAUCGGUCGCUUUGCUUGGAGCUUGGAGUCAAACUCAUCAGACGUCCAAAAACAAGGCCUCCAGUUAUCUGCUGAUGAAAAAAUGCUCGUGGCUCUGAAAUCGUGUUUUUUUGUCCGAUAAAUCUCUGGCACCGUCGCGGUACUGAAACAGACUCCUCUUUUAUUCUGUUCAUCAAACAUGUUUCUGUGGCUCUCUCAGGCCACGACGUCCGAUUCCGAAACAUCAACCCGAUAUUCAAAAAAGUAGCUAUAAGUACAUAAAAUAGCAAAACAGACCAUACCUAAAAGGCCUGGUGAAACAACUUGCUGACUCAUUUUUUUGUGUCAAAGCUUCAGGAGUGAUGGUAAAUAUAUACAUUGGCUGAACGUGUUUCACGAGUGUGAAAGUUUCCAUCCCGCCCAGGUUUCGAGGAGAGGAAUGUGAUCUGUUUAUUCACCCUCAUCUCCUGUGGCAGACUCUGAACUGUGUGUGAACUGUGUGACCUAGAUGUGGAUCAUGAACCUCCACACUCAGGUCACAUAUGGAACCAAGGCUGAACAGAAAUAGCAUUUUGCAGUUACGCCGCUAAAUACAGUAUAUGUGUUGCUGUGCUUUGGUUUUAGCUUCAUGUUUUGUGGUGAGAGGGGCCGAAACCGCAGAGAGGUUCAGAAGUAAUGACCCGGGCAUCAGCUUUAAAAGAGAGAGCGCAACAGAUUUGGCUGGGGAAGCUUGAUCGUAAUGAAUUACCGGGCGAGGAGACGUCCUCUUUUUCCCGGGCAUGUCCUCCUUUUAAGAGCUAAAAAAAAGUGCCCAAGAUUUUGGCCUCUUUUGUCUUCGAUCAUAUUUGCAUUUUUCUGAAAAGAUGCUUUUAAUUCCACCAUCUUAGAAGUGCAGUGUGAUAGGUUGCUGUCCAUCUCCUUUCAAGCAUGUCAUUGGUCAACGGCUCUCAUAAAAAAAAUAAAUAAAUAAAAAAUAAAUGAUCAUAAAUAUGUCAUAGUUCUUUUUCCAAGAGUGAACCAGUUAAACCCAAACCAACCAGCUAUAACCAAGAUGUAGUCAGAACUGUCAGUGCUGUUUUUUAGCGUCAUCUUUCUUUAGAAACAUCAAUCUGGAUCUGACUUGGGCAAAGUGCGGCCUGGGGGCCAUAUGCGGCCCUUUGCCAGUAUUUUUGCGAUCAAUUUUAGCCAGUAAAUACAACACAUUCCCGACUAAAUUAUUGUUUCUUCUUUUGAUUUUAUCAUUUUAGUAUUUUCCUCAAAAUUCGAUGAAAGAAAAUUGAAAAUAUAUCUUGAAAUAAAUUUCCUUUUCAUCUUCGAUGUUUGGUCCAUAGUUUUAUUAUGAUUUCUGUUCAAAUAAAAUGCGUAUAAAAUGAUUUUUCAUUGGCUUCAUACCAUAUUUACACUUAUUAAUAUCCUUGCUUGCAUUACAUAUUUAAUGGUCCAUUUCAUCCUUGUUACUUAAGAUUUAUUUCCGUCACAUUUUGCCGCCUUUCUUUUGGCAUGAUGGCCCCUCACAACAGUCACAGUUUAUAAUAGGAAAUUUAACUGCCCAAUUCUGAUCUAGAUGCAUCUUUUCUAUUUAGAAUUUUAUGUUACUAUCAGUAUUCCACUCUCAUACUUGUUAAAGCGGCUUGUUAAAGUGGUUCAAGAAAUGUUUUUUUAUCUGACAAAUACUUUUCUACCAUUGGUGUAAAAAGGACACACACGAGUAUAGUAUUUAUCAACUCGAUCAUUUGUGACUUCACUGCUGCUGCUCAGUAAUGUUGUAACACAUUUUCGGUGUACGACAUCGAAGUCGGUACUUGAGGUGUGAUUAUGUUUCUGUUUACCGCGCUGCAAACCGAUACUGGCAGCGAACCCUCGCCAUCACUGGAAAUCUGUCAGCCGCAGGGAUCAGAUGUUGGGAGGCAGAGACAGUGUCAGGGCCAGUACCUAAAUAACUGGGGUGAUUUGUCACCUGCGCUGCGCUGCCACUCUUCACACCUCUGCAAACGCUGCGGCGUGAAUUUGUUAUGUGCUCCAUGCUCGGGUUACACUGGAGAUGAGGAGGUGGGAGGGUGUCCGCUGACCCCGGAGUUAAAGAUACUUCUUGCGUGGAGGUGACAUCAAUCAAUCUGUCACUUUGAAAAAUUAUCGUUGAACACGUAAUUCCAUUAACUGUUAAAUUCCUUUGCACAAAGAAAGAGAAUGUUAAAGGUAACGUAACUAUAGUGAUGCAGAACUGCCAUCCAAGGCUUGUCCAUAUCAACACUGAG